rnacentral:rRNA from 1 species
AUCGAUCNGUAGCUGUUUUGAGAGGAAGUCAGCCACACUGGGAUUGAGACACGGNCCCAGACUUCCUACGGGAGGCAGCAGUGGGGAAUUUUCCGCAAUGGGCGAAAGCCUGACGGAGCCAGACCGCGUGAGGGAAGAAAGACUUAGGUUUGUAAACCUCUUUUCUCAAGGAAGAAGAAAUGACGGUACUUGAGGAAUCAGCAUCGGCUAACUCCGUGCCAGCAGCCGCGGUAAGACGGAGGAUGCAAGCGUUAUCCGGAAUUAUUGGGCGUAAAGCGUCCGCAGGUGGUUUUUCAAGUCUGCUGUCAAAGGCGGUAGCUCAACUACCGUAAGGCAGUGGAAACUGAGAGACUAGAGAGUGGUAGGGGUAGAGGGAAUUCCCAGUGUAGCGGUGAAAUGCGUAGAGAUUGGGAAGAACACCGGUGGCGAAAGCGCUCUACUGGACCACAACUGACACUCAGAGGACGAAAGCUAGGGUAGCGAAAGGGAUUAGAUACCCC